CCUACGGGAGGCAGCAGUGGGGAAUAUUGCACAAUGGGCGAAAGCCUGAUGCAGCAACGCCGCGUGAGGGACGACGGCCUUCGGGUUGUAAACCUCUUUUAGCAAGGAAGAAGCGAAAGUGACGGUACUUGCAGAAAAAGCGCCGGCUAACUACGUGCCAGCAGCCGCGGUAAUACGUAGGGCGCAAGCGUUAUCCGGAAUUAUUGGGCGUAAAGAGCUCGUAGGCGGUUUGUCGCGUCUGCUGUGAAAACCCGAGGCUCAACCUCGGGCCUGCAGUGGGUACGGGCAGACUAGAGUGCGGUAGGGGAGAUUGGAACUCCUGGUGUAGCGGUGGAAUGCGCAGAUAUCAGGAAGAACACCGAUGGCGAAGGCAGAUCUCUGGGCCGUAACUGACGCUGAGGAGCGAAAGGGUGGGGAGCAAACAGGCUUAGAUACCCUGGUAGUCCACCCCGUAAACGUUGGGAACUAGUUGUGGGGUCCAUUCCACGGAUUCCGUGACGCAGCUAACGCAUUAAGUUCCCCGCCUGGGGAGUACGGCCGCAAGGCUAAAACUCAAAUGAAUUGACGG
rnacentral:rRNA from 1 species